GACGUAGGGCGCGAGCGUUGUCCGGAUUUAUUGGGCGUAAAGAGCUCGUAGGCGGCUUGUCGCGUCGUUCGUGAAAACCUGUGGCUCAACUACAGGCUUGCGGUCGAUACGGGCAGGCUGGAGUUCGGUAGGGGAGACUGGAAUUCCUGGUGUAGCGGUGAAAUGCGCAGAUAUCAGGAGGAAUACCGGUGGCGAAGGCGGCAUCCUGGACCAUUACUGACGCUGAGGCGCGAAAGCUAGGGGAGCAAACGGG
rnacentral:rRNA from 1 species